UCAUGUGCUGAGGAAACAAAGGAAAAUCGUGUCAGCAAAGGUCCAGAUACUCAGGCUAAUCCAGCAAGCAUCGGAUACAUAGCCGGCCCUGGACUGGUAGCAGCGAGAAAGUGACCAACCUAAACCACCCAGACAAGGAGUUAAAAUUCCACCAGUGGAAAGGAGAGAGCUACAGAGAGCACGAAGCAUCGGGGGGCACCUGAGCUGAGCCUUGAGCUUCCUCCUGUGCCACGGGAACAGCCUCCUGGCUCACUGACUGCCCCUCCCUCAUUUUUAGAGAAUCCUAGGAUCUCAGCAAUGAAAAGCAUCAGAACGUACCUCCCUCCAGCACCAGCCAGUCAGCCCAGAGUUACCAGAAGAACCCUCCAAAGCCACUUGCUUCACAUGACCCUUCUUAGGAGACUAUAGGGCUCCCUACUGUCUUGUGAACCCGAUAUUGACUCCCUAACUGACAACCCCUUUUCCAUUUUUUCUCAGUUUUUUUUCUCUCAAGUGCAGAAUUGUGGAUCCAGAAAAUUGUCGAUUCAAAGGCCUUCCUGAAAAGGCAGGGGGAUGGACAAAACGAAGUUGGGUUUUUGCAGGUCAUAAAAUGCCAUCACAAUCACAGAAAGAGUAAUAGGAAAAUACCCAGAAGAUCACAGGCUAUAAAUUCUAAGAAAGGAACCAGGAAUCAAAAUCCUAGUGGCACUAGUUAGCUGGCAAGCAAGACAAACCAGAGCUUUAUAUGCAAAGAAGCAAAUUUAACUUCCUAAGCAUCAUUGAGACUUAAUGCAAUGAGACCCAUAAUUGUAAUGGAGUCUAGAAAUGAUAGCUAAUUCAUAAGAAACGCAGUGGUAAAAGUUCAUGGUCAGUGGAGCAAGAAAUAUCUUAUGAAGAUAUAAUCAGGUGCAGAAAUCUAGGAAACACGGGACUAAAUAAAGCGUAAGGGAAAGCAUUUGGAUUAAAAAGCAGUGGAGAUAAACAGAAACAAGACUAUAAACAGAGUGUGCUACAGACCACCUGGACAGAAAGAAGAAAUAGAUGAGCAGACAUAAAGGAUGCUGACAUAAUACCAAAUGGAGUAGAGGGGUCCCUGGCGCAAAGAGAAAACUAGCUGGCCAAUCCCGAGAGUUUCGAGGCAUCUGAAUUCAGGUGCUGGCUUAUGUGAUUCUGGCUGCCCCCCAAACGAUCUGCUAGGCGGCAUUAGAACAGACCUGCAGAAUUAUGGGUAUAUAUGUUACCUUCAAGCUGGAGCGAAAAGUCAUAACUGGAAAGUAAGCACUAAUAAAUUCAAUUGUGAAGAUC